rnacentral:rRNA from 1 species
CGAGAAUCGACCACGGCUCAGCCAGCCUCCUCCACCACACCCGCCGCCUACCUCCCCCCUUCCCGCCGCCGUGGAAGGAGACCGGCGGCUGGCUCCCACCGCUUCCGCGAGGGUUCGGAGGCAGUAGGCUCCGCUGCUGCCAUGCUCUCCAGGAUCUCUCAACUCGGGGCGCGGCUCGUGCGCGAGACCAGAGCUGCAGGAAACUUGUCAAGCCAUAGCAGCAAUUACUACCGAGGUCUCAGCCGGCAUUCAGCCCCAGCGAAGAGCAUCCUCUUCUCCACCGCAACAACAAGUAGUCAUCAUGAUGAAGGCGGUGACGACAAGGAGAAAAUCUCUGUAACAUUUGUGAACAAGGAUGGCACUGAGAAAACGAUAAGUGUUCCUGUCGGAAUGUCCAUGUUAGAAGCUGCUCAUGAAAAUGACAUAGAACUUGAAGGAGCAUGUGAAGGGUCGCUCGCAUGUUCCACUUGUCAUGUCAUAGUUAUGGAUGUAAAGGACUAUAACAAGCUAGAGGAUCCAACAGAUGAGGAAAAUGAUAUGCUUGACCUUGCAUUUGGGCUGACAGAAACGUCCCGUCUUGGCUGCCAAGUAAUAGCGAAGCCCGAACUUGACGGCGUCCGACUGGCGUUACCUGCCGCUACACGAAACUUCGCGGUAGAUGGGUUCGUGCCAAAGCCACACUGAAGACAGCCAUCAGUUUUGUACCUUAGCAUCAUCAUGUAACUUCACUACGGUAUCGUCCCUGAGAGCCCCCGUGCCCUCGGACUUGGAUCUGUUCUCAUUUUAUGAGCUCCUUGGUCAGUGCAAGAUCAUCAGUGUUGUACACUGGCAGUGGGUGAAUACUGAAUAAACAAGUUGUGUUUGUGACACCCCAUGGGCGAUAUUAUUUGGAGGACAGGGAAUAAAAGCUUGUUCCAGAGGUUUUGGGGAGUGGAUCUUGUUUUGUGUCUACUGCGUUGUUGUUGUGUUUAGUGUUGUUAGUUGCUCCCUUUGUUCACAAAGUUAAUCAGCGACAGUUAAUAUGAGGGAGCAGCUUUUUUUCUGAAUCAGAUGUGUAUAGACGUGUUUUUGUGUGUUUGUUCACUCAUUUCAGUCUGUAUGCAGUCCAUAUUGAAAUACAUAAAACAACUUAUAAUUGUGAAGGUGUAGGUUUUUGUGGAGAGAAACCUGUUGGAUAAAUUAUGACUGUCGAGUCUGC